AUGGCAGCACUUCCAUCAAACUAAGGUAAACCGAGGUGAACCAUUUGAAUUCACUGGAAAAUAUGGACACUUUAAGAUCAUACUCACGUUUCUUGAGCGUGAGGCAGACAUAUUGUGGAAACUACUUUUCUACAUUAGUCAUCGAUGAUCGUUCACUCUACGGAAUUAUCCGUCGAGAAUAGAAACGGGACAUUCUGA